CUAGUUACUACCUUUUUUUUUCUUUCUGGUUUGAACUGUGGCUUUGGGUUUAUCAUUGACAUGCUCAUUUGGAGCUGCAGGAGGGCGAUUUCAGCAAGCAGAGGUGUGUAUUGCCAAAGAGCAGCUGUGAAUGAAAAUAAGAGGUGUUCUCCAGGACUUUUACGGAACCCUGAGUGACAGCUCUUUAGCUUUAACACCCUUUAGUCCGACUGCCAACUCCUGGGUCUCUGGAAACCCCUCCGGGUGCCAAAGUGCUGGCAGGACUCACUGACUGAGCACAAAUGGCUCUGUAGGAGCCUGAAUCACCACUUUAAAUUUGAUUCAAAACUUUUAGAUCUUUUCAUCCCAUUUGAAUCUUAUUUUACCACUGUGUUUACCAGCUUAACUGCUCUACUCGUUUUUAAUCUGGGUUAAUAAUUAAGACAGCGAUUUCUUCUUGGAGUUAAGAAGUGAAUCAAGGUUGUGAUCGCCCUUGAGCGGAACGUUUUUAUGCACUUCGAGUAGCUGCAAGAGCCAGAGCAAAACUCUGCUGCCCAGAAUGUCCCUGCCAGGAACAAAUGGCCAGAGAUGGGGACAAAACGCCUGGAGAGGCAGCUCCUCUGGCUGCGCAACUGUCCGGCUGCCCAGCGCUUGCUGUUAUCACAUGCUGGGGACAGGAUCACGUGAAGAGGCGGGGAGUCAGCCCCGCAGAGCCUGGGUGACAUCGUGGUGUUGCUGGUGGGAUCCUGGGAGCUUCUGCCUCUGAUGGCGUUUGUGACCCAGCAUCAGAUCCAAAAGUUCCGCGAGGAUGGCUUCCUUGUCCUCGAGCAUUUUUUUACCGCAGAGGAGUGUGACAGCAUGAGGGACGCGAUUCAGAGAAUCAUAGCGGAGAUGGAAGUGCCACCGCACUGCCGCACCGAGUUCUCCACCAAGGAAGAGGAGCAGCUCCAGGCACAGGGUAGCUCGGAUUAUUUCCUAACCAGUGGAGACAAGAUUAGAUUCUUCUUUGAGAAAGGUGUUUUGGAUAAGAGAGGUAACUUUCUAAUUCCAAAGGAGAAAUCCAUCAGCAAGAUUGGCCACGCUUUACAUGCUCAUGAUCCUGUCUUCAAGCAAAUCACCCACUCCUCCAAGGUGCAGGAAUUGGGAAGAAAACUAGGCCUUGAGAGACCGGUAGUUGUGCAAAGCAUGUACAUCUUCAAGCAACCUGGCAUUGGCGGUGAAGUGACCCCUCACCAGGAUGCCACCUUCCUGCACACGGAGCCUCUGGGCAGAGUCCUGGGGUUCUGGAUCGCCCUGGAGGACGCCACGCAGGAGAAUGGCUGCUUGUGGUUCAUUCCUGGCUCUCACACCAAUGGAAUUACCCGGAGAAUGGUCCGUGCUGCUCCAGGUACUUCAACAUGUGUAGAGUUUGUAGGAUCAGAGCCAGCCUACGAUGACAGCCAGUUCAUACCUCUGCCUAUAAGCAAAGAUUUUAAAUCUAGCACUCAGAAUUUGAAAGAAGCAGUAGAGAUGUUUCUUUCAAACAGGUGGACUCAUUCUCAUCCACGGAGAAGUCGUCCACAAGAGUGAACUGAACAGUUCGGACUCUUCUCGCCACGUGUUCACCUUCCAUGUGAUGGAAGCCAAAGACACCAGCUGGAGCAAAGAGAACUGGCUCCAGCCAACUCCUGAACUGCCUUUUCCAUCACUCUACACUUGAAGCCAGUGGUUGGCUUCUGGAGUCAGUAGCUGAUCAAUAUUCCUUUCUGAUCAUAUUCUCCUUAAAUGAAACUUCCACUAGAUCAGCUCUCAAAAUUAAUUAAUCCUGUCCUCAGAACAAGUACCCUUGACACCUGAAUUAGGCAGGAGCUUCUGCUACAGCAUGGGCCCUACUAAUAUGAGAACAGUUGGCCAGCCCUUUUGGGAAGGAAACUUCUUCAGUCUUGAGAACAGACCAUUAAAGACCAUUGCACCUUGACUGGCAUCAGUUAAGAAGUAUUUCUUCUUGCAGACACUAAGUAUUUUCUUCUGUUUAAGUCAAGAGCUGUCUAGUGCAUUUCUUGGCUGUGUCGAUCCCAGCAAUGCAGGUGAACACAUUGUGGGAAGGUGGCUGACUUUUACUCUUAGGUCUCUGUCCUAUUGUUUGAAUAAUAGUGAUUAAAACCAACCCUAUUGUGGGCAAAACAAAGCAGGAAGUCUGCUUCUAUAAUCAAUCUUUUAAGUAUUUCUAGCAAAUUGUAGCUGAGUGUUUGAUCUCUGGGUGUGUUGAUUAAAAAUGUUUUAACGGUUCUUUAAGAUUCAUAUUGAAAUUAUGAAAACAAAAAAAACCCAAUCAAAAUCCUAACAUUUA